GGAGAUGAGAUGGGUCUGAGCGGCCAGGUGAGUGUCCUCCUCCCUCAUCUCUCUGGGAAUUCCUCCCGAAGUACCUCGUUGGUAUAAGAGGAUAGAAUUUCCUUGUAGACUAGAGCCAGUAGUUGGUCAAGGAGGUAGGAAUGGCUGCACAGCUCUGCUAGAAUCUCCAAAGCAGCUGUUGAAGCAUGUUUGAGUAUUUGGCAAGUGCUUGGCAUGACUCACUAGUCCAUCACCCAGCCGUGCAUGUCGCUGGGU
rfam:Equus caballus chromosome 1, whole genome shotgun sequence.